CGACUCUGUAGCUUAAUUGGUAGAGCAGCAGUCGCUUAAUCUGUGGGUUCCCGGUUCGAUUCCGGGCGGGUCACCCA
rnacentral:tRNA from 1 species